GAGAAAUUAGCUCAAUUGGUAGAGCAAAAUAUAUCUUGAUCAGUGUAUUGGGUUAAAGGUUCGAAUCCUUUAUUUCUUA